CCUACGGGGGGCUGCAGUGGGGAAUAUUGGACAAUGGGCGAAAGCCUGAUCCAGCCAUGCCGCGUGUGUGAAGAAGGCCUUCGGGUUGUAAAGCACUUUCAGUGGGGAAGAAAGCCUUGGGGCCAAUACCCUCGAGGAAGGACAUCACCCACAGAAGAAGCACCGGCUAACUCCGUGCCAGCAGCCGCGGUAAUACGGAGGGUGCGAGCGUUAAUCGGAAUUACUGGGCGUAAAGCGCGCGUAGGCGGUCUGAUAAGCCGGUUGUGAAAGCCCCGGGCUCAACCUGGGAACGGCAUCCGGAACUGUCAGGCUAGAGUGCAGGAGAGGAAGGUAGAAUUCCCGGUGUAGCGGUGAAAUGCGUAGAGAUCGGGAGGAAUACCAGUGGCGAAGGCGGCCUUCUGGACUGACACUGACGCUGAGGUGCGAAAGCGUGGGUAGCAAACAGGAUUAGAUACCCUGGUAGUC
rnacentral:rRNA from 1 species